rnacentral:lncRNA from 1 species
CUUCUCCAAGUGUAGAAGUUUGAGGCUGGUGCAACCUAGAUUGUGCCAUCAUAGAUGCUCCAUCAUUAUGAAGCCUUGUCAUGACUCCUUCAAUCUCUGCAGUUCUUUGCGAUAACGUUGUCGUGUUGUAAUACGAGUUUACCGUGAAAAUAUAAAAAAAAGGGACUUUUAUUAAUAUUCAGUUACCUCGAAUAUUGGGAGCAACGACCAACUCCAGUACAAAUACUGAGUGGUCAGGUUCAGUCAUCCCGUUACAGUGAGCUGGGGCAUACUGAAAUGCUCCAUUUGAUUCCAAUAACG